UGGGGAAUUUUGGACAAUGGGGGAAACCCUGAUCCAGCCAUCCCUCGUGUGCGAUGAAGGCCUUCGGGUUGUAAAGCACUUUUGGCAGGAAAGAAACGUCAUGGGUUAAUACCCCGUGAAACUGACGGUACCUGCAGAAUAAACACCGGCUAACUACGUGCCAGCAGCCGCGGUAAUACGUAGGGUGCAAGCGUUAAUCGGAAUUACUGGGCGUAAAGCGUGCGCAGGCGGUUCGGAAAGAAAGAUGUGAAAUCCCAGAGCUCAACUUUGGAACUUCAUUUUUAACUACCUGGCUAGAGUGUGUCAGAGGGAGGUGGAAUUCCGCGUGUAGCAGUGAAAUGCGUAGAUAUGCGGAGGAACACCGAUGGCGAAGGCAGCCUCCUGGGAUAACACUAACGCUCAUGAACGAAAGCGUGGGGAGCAAACAGG
rnacentral:rRNA from 1 species